rnacentral:lncRNA from 1 species
CACGCUUCUUCCUCCUGCUGUGUGGAUGGAGCAGACACCUGCCCGGCCAAAGGCAAACCCUGCAAAGCCCACGUGGUUUGAUUUCAGUGGAAUUGGUGUGGUUGCCCUUGACAGGAACACACAGAUGGAGGUAAACUUGGAACAACUUGUGACAUGGAAUCUUUGACGCCUGAUUUAAUUGCUGAUGAAGGUUGGUUUGUGCCAAAGUACUUCUCUAUGAAUCACAGUGGCUGAGGUGGGAUGGACGUUUUGUUCAGCUGCCCUGCUGUGGAGCCAGACCUCCUGGUGCACGGCCUGGGUGGACGGCUGAGCUUGGAACCCUUCAAACCAACACCGGAGCUGCUGCUGUUCCUCCUGCUGCCAAGAGCUCAAUUGUCGCACAGAUACUGGAGAUCUAUUGCCUAUUCAGAAGGCAGAGUGAAUUAUUCUUUGGUAUUUGCAGAACUAUGGCAACAGCCAAAAAUGUAAGAGGUGUAUUCGGGAUGAGAUGACCAAGAGAGUGAACAAAGCAAGCAAGCUGUUACAAGUAAUCUCUGAAACUGCGUGGGACAUCGCAACGUCUGGGAUGUCUGCUGGCACUGCAGAAAAGGACCGGAUUGCGAUGGGAGCUUCCCAGUACAGAGAGCUGAGCUCCUGUGUGCUGUGUCUGGUCCUGCUUUGCCACGCUGGACCCAGAUGAAAGCUGCUCCCAUCACACAGCAGAUGAAUACCAACUUGCGGGCACAGCGAGGACACCACCAGGACAAAGCACAGAGCUCCUGGGCAGCGUCCCAGCUCUGAGCAGUGUGCAGCAGGCAGGUGGCUGCUGAGAAGUGGGAUUCCUUAGGUGUGGUGCAGCCGCAUCCACGUGCUGGCACUGCCCAUCCUGCUUGUUGACAUUGCAUGCACAAAUCACAGGUGUGACAUCCGUAUGUUUCCUAAACAAUGUGUUGAAAGCAUGGUGGCUCGGGAAGGAUUUGUACAGCAGAGAGCAAGU